AAAACUGUGCCGUUAUUCGAAGCCUAUGUAUGUGAGAGUAGCGUUUGACAUUUUAUCCUGUGGCAACACUGAAUAUAUUUCUGUCCUUAUUGCUCUUACGUACUUGGACGGUUUGUCUCUUUCACACCUGGUAGGAGAAGUGUCAGCAUAAAAUGCGAGACACGAUCGCCGCGCUUCACAUUUGGCGUUUGAUUUUCGACCUGUGCAGCACAGUCCGAAAAUUUGAAAAUUGUAUUACAUUUUGGCCUAAAUACGGGUCCAAAACAGAUAACGGAGACUACAGACAAUCUGGAUGGAAAUUACAUACAAAUUUAGAAACCGUUUCCCUGGAUCCUGUUUUUUGGGUGAAAUCUUUAAUUCGACUAUCAAAAACUCGACGAGAUGAAUGUCGAUUAGACAACUUAUUUUUAACAGUGUGUGGUCCUCCGAAAGCGGCAUCUAGAACCACUAUUGCAAAUUGGUUAAAGGCUUUAUUGAUGGAAGCAGGCAUCAAUGCAACUCCCGGAAGCUUCAGACCAGCGGUAUCUUCGAAAAAUUGGAUUCAAAAUUUCCCAAUAGACGAGAUUUUGAAAAGAGGUAAUUGGCGCUCGCAGAAUGUAUUUAUGAAAUAUUAUAAAAGAUCUGUGUUACCGGAUAAACAAACGACUUCAAUAACUAGAUUAUUUUCUCCUGUUUGAUAUGGUACAUACGACCUGGUUAUUUAGUUUGCGUUAAAUUAUAUGAUGUUUAAUCUGAUUUAUUAAUCAUAAAAGAAGAAAUAAAGAAGAUUAUUAAUUGACCUGUAUACAUAAUUUACAUAAUUUUUCUUAAUAAAUGUUUAUGUCUA
rnacentral:lncRNA from 1 species